UCAGGAUUCAGCGCUAAAUGAGACAGAUGGAGUGUCUGUCCCUAUUGAGAAUUCCUUGUUUGGUUUAAACAAUUAAAGGAACAAGAAAAGCAAAACAAAUUCCAAAUUCUAACAUGUGGCUGUUAUUCAUUUCAUAACAAACCGUGCAGCAAUGUCAUUGACUUUCAACAAGCAAUCUCUUUUAGAAAUUACUGCCAUGAACUCACUUGUGAUGAAUUGGAUUUAGUAAUAAAAGCCCACUUGAUAACGCUCAGACUUAACGAAACUCCUAAAGACACUUAAUUAUUAUGAUUAUUAUUAAUGAUGAUUAUUAUUAUUGCAUUAUUUUGUUAUAUUGCUAUGAAGUUAAGUGAAAGAUAUUUAUCUUUUCAAUCUUGACAAUUGUUUUAAAAACUUAAAUAUAUCUUAGGUUGGACCAAACUACUUCAAGACUGCGAAAAAAUGUGAAGUCUUUGGUGUUCGCUGUGAAGGUACAGGAAAACAGGUGUUUUACUUGGCGAAUGAGGGUGAAUCACCCGGGAAAGGCGCCAACACUGUUGUUAGCUAUGUGCAUUACUAGCUUCACCACUAUGGCCUAGAGGAGGAAGAGGCAGUUUUCUUCUUUGACAACUGCUGGACAAAAUAAGAACAACUGUGUACUUUCGUAUGCAUUGUGGAGAGUAAGUGUUGGGCUGCACACUCGAAUGAGAUACUCGAUGAUGGUGAUUGCGACCACAUCAAGUUCUACCCUGAUUGGCAUUUUGGAUUAUGGAAGUCAAAGUACUUUGUGAUGCAGAGACCAUCGAGGCUGUUGCUGAGACUGUAUCCACCUCCUUAAGGUCUGGACUUAAUGUGCCGCACAUGAUUGGUGAUUUGGAGAAGCCUGUGCACCUAUACCAUUGGAAAACUUUUCUUGCCCAGUUGUUCAUACCCUUGAAGAACAUUAGAAAGUACCAACAUUUCCUCAUUGAUGCUGGUAAACCAGGCUUGGUAUUUUGUAAAACAAGUGAAAAAUCUACUGUUGAAACUCACUGUUUGUUAAACUUUAAAGAGUGCUGACCUCUUACCAUCAAUGUCUAGCCAGUCUUGCCCAGCCUGAAUUAAAGGACCUUGACUCAGUAUCGCCUGACAAUGGUACCUUUAUGAGGACAUAGGGCAGUUUUUUUAAAUCAAACCUCAGUAGACAAGCCACCUGUCCCAAGCCGAAGUAAAAAAAAACAAAACUGUAUGUGUAACUCAGAAGUUGCAAAAAACAUGUGCCCUGUCCUAUCUUUGUUUGUUUUAAGGUUGAAAAUUGUAAGCUCCUGUUUGUAAAAUAGCCUUAGAUUAUUUGUUUUGAUUACCAAGUUAUAUGUUAUUGUUUACCAUAUCAACUGUUCAUUGGUGAACUUUUCAGCAACAAUUACUAGUGUGAAAAUUUUAAUAUUAAAUUGGCCUGUGGCAUGAUAUUUUCUAAAUUGAAACUUAUGAUGUGAUGCUAUUAAUGUGUAAUGUCAUGUCUUAAAACAUGUUUUAUAAAGUUUGUCAAAACAUUUAGCCAUAUGUCCAUGUGUGUUUAUUUAUUAUGACAGGUGGUAAUAUAUAAGUUUUGUUGAAGCUCAUCAUACCCAUGAUUGCCAAACCCACUUACAUAUAAAAUAAGAAUGAUGGUUGCUAUGGAAACAUUAUUUUGGCAUUUACAUAUUUGUUGAUGGAAUAAAUUCUAUUUAUAUGAUAAUGGUAUUAUGUUUAUUUUAACUGAUUUAUAGAAGGUAUCUUUUAAUGCCUUACAAGUAAUACAUGUUCAUCUUUAAUUGUUCUGAAUUAGAAGUACAUGUUGUUAUUAUUUGUGUUUAUUUAUGGCGGUUUUACUAUGUGGGUUUCGUAAACAAAUUGUAGUUAAAUUGUUUGGUCAAAUAAUCUUGUUCUUUUUCAUGUUUGAUAUGUAUGGGAAAGGAUUUACUAAUAAAAUUAGGUGUUUUUGCUGUUCAAAACAGUAAAAAUGGAUAUUUUAUCUAUUUGUUGCCAUGG